rnacentral:rRNA from 1 species
UACGUAGGUGGCAAGCGUUAUCCGGAUUUACUGGGUGUAAAGGGCGUGUAGGCGGGAAAGCAAGUCAGAUGUGAAAACCAUGGGCUCAACCUGUGGCCUGCAUUUGAAACUGUUUUUCUUGAGUACUGGAGAGGCAGACGGAAUUCCUAGUGUAGCGGUGAAAUGCGUAGAUAUUAGGAGGAACACCAGUGGCGAAGGCGGUCUGCUGGACAGCAACUGACGCUGAGGCGCGAAAGCGUGGGGAGUAAACAGG